rnacentral:misc_RNA from 1 species
UAUUUAAAUUUUUUGUAUUUAUUUUUAGAAAACAUUAAAGAAAAAUAAAAUAAGUACAUGAUUUGUUUUUUGCCUUUGGCAAUCAAUGUAUCUACAAUAUAUUUGUGCUUCUUGUUUCUAUUUGUAGUUGACAUCCUAAGUAUUGAGUCAUCAUAUUCAUGAUUGCUCGUCUUUGGCCCCUGUCAAUUCCAGAGAUUGAAUUUGCCCUGGUUUUUAAGAAAAUCCUUGUCCUUUACAUCUAGCAGGAUAAUUUUCUGUUUUUCUCUUAAAUAUUUACAUACAUGCGCAUCUUAACAUUAAACCAAUGAGGGUAAGGAUGAACUAGCCUGAGCUUAAUUAUUUGAGUCCGCUUUGCUUGUGGUUCGAUGAACUUGGAAUGUGGAUGUGAUAUUAAAGUUCUUAGCUUCUGGACAUGGCUUUUAUUCAAGUCUUUCUUUGUUGAGAAUCUGCAAUUGAAGAGUUAGUUACUGCUUAUUAUACUGGUUAGUCUCAUGUAG